rnacentral:rRNA from 1 species
UACGAAGGGGGCUAGCGUUGCUCGGAAUUACUGGGCGUAAAGCGCACGUAGGCGGUCUUUUAAGUCGGGGGUGAAAUCCUGGAGCUCAACUCCAGAACUGCCUUCGAUACUGGAAGACUUGAGUCCGGGAGAGGUGAGUGGAACUGCGAGUGUAGAGGUGAAAUUCGUAGAUAUUCGCAAGAACACCAGUGGCGAAGGCGGCUCACUGACCCGGUACUGACGCUGAGGUGCGAAAGCGUGGGGAGCAAACAGG